rnacentral:lncRNA from 1 species
GACACACCCAGCGGCAGCCGUUGACUCCCUCCACCCUUGCUUCCCUCUCAACCAUCUCACCUCCAUCUGUCCAGUGGAGCCAGAUGUCCCACCUUCUUGGGAGAAAUUAAUUGAGGCUCAUUUCCAGGACAGAGGGGCAAGCUGGGUCUGAGGAGCCAAGCAGAAAAACUUCCCAAAAUCACUGGGUGGGGAGGGGUCAGAGACUUACUGCUGCCCCAGCUGUUCUGACUCUGCCCCCAGCUUUUGGCCCCACCCUUUUAAAGCACCUUCAGAGGUUCCCAAUGGUGACAGUAAACAAGUCUCCACUGUCCUGGCCAUCUCUGCUGUGUUCACCCUACUCCUGAUCUUUCUGGCUGCUCAGGGACUGACAGCCAAGAUGUGAGGCUGUGAUGAGCAGGAACAGGGAGGCCUGGAGCCCCCAGCAGGGCACAAAAGCUCUAGAAAUACAAAGCUGCAGAGGAUGGACGUGUUCUGCCUUUCAUUUCUCAAGACAGAUUUGCAAUGAUCAAGAGGCGUCCUGUGAAUGCAGUUUGCAAAGGACUUAGGCACACAGCAUCUCCUUUGUUCUCACCACAAGGCUGCCGGGUGUGCAGAUGUGAGGAUUAUUUCAAUGGUGAAGAAGCAUCCUGAGAGGUUACGUAGUUCAACUAAUGUCACACCAAGAGCAGGAGAGCAUCUGGGCAUUUGGACAUGGAAGGUGUGGGGCACAAGCAUCUCAUGGCCAGGGAACGGGGGAGGAGCAUCUCAGAGCUGCAUCAGAGUUCAUGCUGGUCCUAGGACAAGAGUCAAGCACACCCUGCUUUCACCAGCUGCUGGUAGCUUUCACUCAGGUAAUGCACAGCUGAACAGAACCCAGUUCUUUCUCUUGACUGGGCCCCCAUCAAUACAUUAGCUCCGAAU